rnacentral:rRNA from 1 species
ACAUACGACCAUAGGGUGUGGAGAACAGGGCUUCCCGUCCGCUCAGCCGUACUUAAGCCACACGCCGGCAGGUUAGUAGUAUGGUGGGUGACCACAUGCGAAUCCCUCCUGUUGUAUGUU